rnacentral:lncRNA from 1 species
AAAUAACCUAAAAAUCAGAUGUAGGAAUCAAAUGUAGCAAUAAUACUUUUCAUUUAUGAAACAUUUACUUGUCCUUAUUAUUACUGUUUCUUUACAUAGAAUGGUUUACGGAAGUGUUUCUAUCUAGAAUCUCUAUGAAUUCCAUCCCUUACGUUGUUACCAGAGAGGCAGUGCAGUUAUUCUGAAUGUUCAUUUAAUGAAAGAGGAAACAUCUUAACAGGGCAGAUGACCUGCUCAGGCUGAAAGGGUGUUGGUAUCUUCUAUGACUUGAUGGGGGUCAGAAUUUUCAGCAGGACUUACCAAGAAAUACAGCAGGGGAGCACCUUACCUGAUCAGUGGAGGAGCACCUUACCUGAUCUUGGCGAACAGAGCAAAUGUAGUCACUUCUUUCAUUCCCCCAGACCUCUGACCACCUUGCCAGGCAGAGGUGAGGGUGCAGCUGGUAAACCAAGAGCUUACGCGGACCCACAUCUCUAUUCACACAUCAGGCAGAUGGACGAGAGCUGUUAUGACUGCAGUGUAGACAAAUCAUUGCCCAGAUGCCCUUGAUCCUACAGGUCUCUUCUCCGCCACCACCUCUGUGAACUGGAGCCUGCUUUGCCAGUGGCACUACCUUGGGGAGAGGAGGGAGGAAGACACUAUUAGCAAAUGUUGCUGCUUCUUUUCUUUUGUGUGUUUCUCAUAGUCCUAUUGUACACCUGACAUCUGACACAAUGAAUGCAUUACCAAAUCAUUAGUCCCCAUCCAAUGCGAGGCACCAAAUCUGCAGUCAGUCAGUGCUACAUGUGACACAUGAAACCAAACACUUCAUCUACUUCUACCUGGGCCAAGUGGCCAUUCUGUUCAAAUCUGGUUAAAAGCAUGGACUGUGUCACACACCCAGUGAUCCAUCCAAAACCAAGGACUGCAGCCUAAAUUCCAGAUACCAGAGACUGAAAUCUUCAGCCUUGCCUAGGGGAACAUCUCGAUCUUUGAACCUUUAUUGUGUUGUUUUGUACAGGGCAUUCUCUGUACGAAUUUGUUGUGGUUAUAAAACAAUUAGAAAAACAGCUUACAUUUGUAUUUAUUUUCUAUUCCAUACCUCUGCCCCAUGUUUUUUCUCCUCAAAAUCCAUUCCUUUCCAAAUAAAUCUGUUGGAGAAAGAAAAAAAAAAAAAGGA